rnacentral:rRNA from 1 species
GCUAACUCCUUGCCAGCAGCCGCGGGAAUACGGAGGAGCCAAGGCUUAUCCUGAAGAAGUGGUUUUAAAUGGUCCGUAGGCGGCCUUAUAAGUAAGCGGGGAAAGUUUUUGGCUUAACCAAAAAAUUGCCAUUGUUACUGUAGGGCUUGAAUUAUUGUGAAGUAACUAGAAUAUGUAGUGUAGCGGUGAAAUGCUUAGAUAUUACAUGGAAUACCAAUUGCGAAGGCAGGUUACUAACAAUAUAUUGACGCUGAUGGACGAAAGCGUGGGUAGCGAACAGGAUUAGAUACCCCUGUAGUC